CUCUCCGCUCCCAGGAACUAAAACCCCGCCACCAUGUCUGACGAAGAAGUGGAACAGGGCGAGGAGGAGUACGAAGAAGAAGAAGCCCAGGAGGAAG